UGGGGAAUAUUGCACAAUGGAGGGAACUCUGAUGCAGCGACGCCGCGUGAACGAAGAAGGCUUUCGAGUCGUAAAGUUCUUUUAUAUGGGAAGAUAAUGACGGUACCAUAAGAAAAAGCCCCGGCUAACUACGUGCCAGCAGCCGCGGUAAUACGUAGGGGGCUAGCGUUGUCCGGAAUCACUGGGCGUAAAGGGUUCGCAGGCGGAAAUGCAAGUCAGGUGUAAAAGGCAGUAGCUUAACUACUGUAAGCAUUUGAAACUGCAUAUCUUGAGAAGAGUAGAGGUAAGUGGAAUUUUUAGUGUAGCGGUGAAAUGCGUAGAUAUUAAAAAGAAUACCGGUGGCGAAGGCGGCUUACUGGGCUCAUUCUGACGCUGAGGAACGAAAGCGUGGUAGCAAACAGG
rnacentral:rRNA from 1 species